rnacentral:rRNA from 1 species
CGAGGCGUGAAUAUUGCACAAUGGGCGCAAGCCUGAUGCAGCCAUGCCGCGUGUAUGAAGAAGGCCUUCGGGUUGUAAAGUACUUUCAGCAGUGAGGAAGGCGGAUGCGUUAAUAGCGUAUUCGUUUGACGUUAGCUGCAGAAGAAGCACCGGCUAACUCCGUGCCAGCAGCCGCGGUAA